UACGAAGGGGGCUAGCGUUGCUCGGAAUUACUGGGCGUAAAGCGCACGUAGGCGGAUUGUUAAGUCGGGGGUGAAAUCCUGGAGCUCAACUCCAGAACUGCCUUCGAUACUGGCGAUCUCGAGUUCGGGAGAGGUGAGUGGAACUGCGAGUGUAGAGGUGAAAUUCGUAGAUAUUCGCAAGAACACCAGUGGCGAAGGCGACUUUCUGGCCUGUUCUUGACGCUGAGGCGCGAAAGCUAGGGG
rnacentral:rRNA from 1 species